GUUUGCCAGUCUCCUGAUGCACCCUCAGAAACUGGUUCUGCACACACAUUUACUUGAGUCCAAUCUGUAGCAUCUUCCAUCCCACUCCCAGACCCAUCAUCCCCAGAAAAACCUUCAAACGUUUCAUCUUUCGUGGGAGCAAACUGGGAGUAUUUCAAAGAGCCAUGUCUGCAUGUUGCAGUACACAAUGCUGCGGCACAGAGGCAGAGUUUGCAACACUUCAGAAGAAAUGUUCCCCC
rnacentral:lncRNA from 11 species